AGUCGAUAGCACGUCGUCGCCGUCGUUCCCGUCCUUGCCGCCGUCGUCGGUGGUUGCCGAUAUACGAAAUAUCGCCCGCGCGGGCGGCUUGUAUUUACCGUACCGUGACCGCCGUCCCGCGCUACCGCUUUUGCGCGAGCGCCGCGCGGAUUCCGAUCGGCGGCGCGGGUCGCGGAUCGAUCAGUGUCCGCAUGGCGAAUCUAUCCGCGCAUCGGACGGCCUGAAAACGCGAAGGCUUCCCCCCGGUUUACCUUUUAUCGCGGCGAUACGCCGCGAAAACGCCACGACGAGGACGAUUUUGAGCGACGGUCGUCCCUUCCAGGCGAAGUCGCGACUCCACCUCGGAAAAGCUCCUGUAACUUUUCAAUUGCAUUAAGUGAAAUAUCUGGGCCUCGCCCACGGAACCGAACCGGAAACCUUCGUGUGUCCGAAAUCUCGCGAAUGAAAAUGGAGUGAAA